CACGUAGUUGGCCGGGGCUUCUUCUGCAGGUACCGUCACUAUCGUCCCUGCUGAAAGCGGUUUACGACCCGAGGGCCUUCAUCCCGCACGCGGCGUCGCUGCAUCAGGCUUUCGCCCAUUGGGCAAGAUUCCCCACUGCUGCCUCCCGUAGGAGUCUGGGCCGUGUCUCAGUCCCAGUGUGGCUGGACAUCCUCUCAGACCAGCUACCCGUCGUUGCCUUGGUAGGCCGUUACCCCACCAACAAGCUGAUAGGCCGCGAGGCGAUCCCGAAGCGGAAUCCAUUUCCUCACCAGACCAUGCGAUCCGGCGAGGACAUCCGGUAUUAGCUCGAGUUUCCUCGGGUUAUCCCGGUCUUCGGGGCACGUUCCUCACGUGUUACGCACCCGUUCGCCACUUUCCACCCGGCAAGCCCGGGCUUCACGUUCGACUUGCAUGUGUUAAGCGCGCCGCCAGCGUCGUCCUUGAGCACGAGUCAAACUCU
rnacentral:rRNA from 1 species